GAUGAACGCUGGCGGCGUGCCUAAUACAUGCAAGUCGAGCGAAUGGAUUGAGAGCUUGCUCUUAUGAAGUUAGCGGCGGACGGGUGAGUAACACGUGGGUAACCUGCCCAUAAGACUGGGAUAACUCCGGGAAACCGGGGCUAAUACCGGAUAACAUUUUGAACCGCAUGGUUCGAAAUUGAAAGGCGGCUUCGGCUGUCACUUAUGGAUGGACCCGCGUCGCAUUAGCUAGUUGGUGAGGUAACGACUCACCAAGGCAACGAUGCGUAGCCGACCUGAGAGGGUGAUCGGCCACAGUGGGACUGGAACACGGCCCAGACUCCUACGGGAGGCAGCAGUAGGGAAUCUUCCGCAAUGGACGAAAGUCUGACGGAGCAACGCCGCGUGAGUGAUGAAGGCUUUCGGGUCGUAAAACUCUGUUGUUAGGGAAGAACAAGUGCUAGUUGAAUAAGCUGGCACCUUGACGGUACCUAACCAGAAAGCCACGGCUAACUACGUGCCAGCCGCCGCCGUAA
rnacentral:rRNA from 1 species